AGUGAACGCUGGCGGCGUGCCUAAUACAUGCAAGUCGAACGGAGUGGCGCACGGGUGAGUAAUGUAUAGCUAAUCUGCCCUACACUAGAGGACAACAGUUGGAAACGACUGCUAAUACUCUAUAGUGUAGGAUGAGGCUAUAUUGUAUCAGCUAGUUGGUGAGGUAAUGGCUCACCAAGGCUAUGACGCAUAACUGGUCUGAGAGGAUGAUCAGUAAAACUGGAAGGGAGACACGGUCGAGACUCGUACGGGAGGGGGCAGUAGGGAAUAUGGCUCACGGGGGGAAAGUCUGAAGCGGCAACGCCGCGUGGAGGAUGACUUUUGUCGGAGAGUAAAGUCCUUUUGUUAGGGAAGCGGUACCUAACGAAUAAGCACCGGCUAACUCCGUGCCAGCAGCCGCGGUAAUAC
rnacentral:rRNA from 1 species